rnacentral:rRNA from 1 species
CCUACGGGGUGCUGCAGUGAGGAAUAUUGGUCAAUGGGCGCGAGCCUGAACCAGCCAAGUCGCGUGAAGGAUGACUGCCCUACGGGUUGUAAACUUCUUUUAUAAAGGAAUAAAGUGAGGCACAUGUGCCUUUUUGUAUGUACCUUAUGAAUAAGGAUCGGCUAACUCCGUGCCAGCAGCCGCGGUAAUACGGAGGAUCCGAGCGUUAUCCGGAUUUAUUGGGUUUAAAGGGAGCGUAGAUGGGUUGUUAAGUCAGUUGUGAAAGGUUGCGGCUCAACCGUAAAAUUGCAAUUGAUACUGGCAGCCUAGAGUACAGUUGAGGUAGGCGGAAUGCGUGGUGUAGCGGUGAAAUGCUUAGAUAUCACGAAGAACACCGAUUGCGAAGGCAGCCUACUAAACUGCCACUGACGUUGAGGCUCGAAAGUGUGGGGAGCAAACAGGAUUAGAUACCCGAGUAGUC